UACGGAGGAUCCAAGCGUUGUCCGGAUUUAUUGGGUUUAAAGGGUGCGUAGGCGGCAGUUUAAGUCAGAGGUGAAAGACGGUAGCUCAACUAUCGCAGUGCCUUUGAUACUGAAUUGCUUGAAUGAACUAGAGGUAGGCGGAAUGAGACAAGUAGCGGUGAAAUGCAUAGAUAUGUCUCAGAACACCGAUUGCGAAGGCAGCUUACUAUGGUUUUAUUGACGCUGAGGCACGAAAGCGUGGGGAUCAAACAGGAUUAGAUACCCCAGUAGU
rnacentral:rRNA from 1 species